UCAGCUUUGGCGCAGUAGGUAGCGCAUCAGUCUCACAAGCUGAAGGUCGGGAGUUUGAUCCUCUUAAGGAGGG
rnacentral:tRNA from 1 species